ACUUAAAUGUGUAUAUGGUGUUUAUCUGUUUUUCUCUCUGUUUUAGAUGCACAUAUCAAUUUGGAGUUCUGCCUCCAAGCCAGAAUUGCAGUAAUGCACCACGUGUUGGCUGUUUCACUGCCCUCUGUGCCCCACUUUCAGCCCUAUUGUCAGGAGCAUAUAAAUGGACACAUUAAAAAUGCUUUGCCUUUCAAAGACAAAAUGAUAUACCGGUGCACUUUCACUGCCCUGUCUGUAACAUGACAGUCAUACAGCGUGGGGAUAUGGCAAGGCAAUUUUUCUCAUGUCAGCAUUCAGGACUGCUCCCCACUGAACUCUCCGUGGAGCUCCAUCUCCCUCUCGAUGUCUUGUCUCCAGUAUCUAAACCAUUUUCUGAAUCUUCAGUAGAACAUUCAUGUGCUCUACCCUCUGUGCUAAAUGAAACUGUGGCUUGUGGAAAGUCCUUGAAAAUGAAACGCCCUCACUGUGGUCUUAGUCUUCUUGAAAAAAAACUUCAAGGCUCACAUGAUGAGGAGGCAUUCAAACAGAUCAAUAAAUGUUUGCCUGGCCUGUCAUCUGCAGUGUUUUUGUGUAGAGGGACUUCUUCCUCUUUGUUUUUCAGUUUGCAGAGGAGCUCUUUUUAAAAGCUUGUGCUGAUGAGCAGGGACUAUGGGUCAAUGCGAUAUUUGACAUUUAAUGGACAGAUGAAGGCAUUGGCCGUAUUUGUGUUUUUUAUGUGUUGUUUGUUUUUCAGUGUACAGAAUUCCAGUUAAACGUGUUAUUAAAUAUCCACUUGUUUCCAUGUCCAUACUUAUA